rnacentral:rRNA from 1 species
GAUGAACGCUAGCGGCAGGCCUAAUACAUGCAAGUCGAGGGGCAGCAGGGAUAGCAAUAUUCGCUGGCGACCGGCGCACGGGUGCGUAACACGUAUACAAUCUGCCUUUAACAGGGGGAUAGCCCCGGAGAAAUCCGGAUUAAUACCCCAUAAUAGAUUGACUGGCAUCAGUUGAUUUUGAAAGCUCCGGCGGUUAGAGAUGAGUAUGCGUCUGAUUAGCUAGUUGGUGAGGUAACGGCUCACCAAGGCGACGAUCAGUAGGGGAUCUGAGAGGAUUAACCCCCACACGGAUACUGAGACACGGAUCCGACUCCUACGGGAGGCAGCAGUAAGGAAUAUUGGACAAUGCCCGCAAGGGUGAUCCAGCCAUGCCGCGUGCAGGAAGACGGCCCUAUGGGUUGUAAACUGCUUUUACACCGGAGAAAACCCCCCUACGUGUAGGGGGCUGAUAGUAUGGUGAGAAUAAGCAUCGGCUAACUUCGUGCCAGCAGCCGCGUAA